rnacentral:rRNA from 1 species
AGAAUCAACGCUGGCGGCGUGCCUAACACAUGCAAGUCGCACGAGAAAGUGGAGCAAUCCAUGAGUAAAGUGGCGCACGGGUGAGUAACACGUGAAUAAUCUACCUCCGAGUGGGGAAUAACUGAGAGAAAUCUUAGCUAAUACCGCAUAACACUUACGAGUCAAAGCAGCAAUGCGCUUGGAGAGGAGUUCGCGGCCGAUUAGUUAGUUGGCGGGGUAAUGGCCCACCAAGACGAUGAUCGGUAUCCGGCCUGAGAGGGCGCACGGACACACUGGAACUGAAACACGGUCCAGACUCUACGGGAGGCAGCAGUGGGGAAUUUUGCGCAAUGGGGGAAACCCUGACGCAGCAACGCCGCGUGGAGGAUGAAAUCCCUUGGGAUGUAAACUCCUUUCGAUUGGGAAGAUAAUGACGGUACCAAUAGAAGAAGCCCGGCUAACUUCGUGCCAGCAGCCGC